UCUGCUCUUGAAGCACCUGCACCAGA
rnacentral:piRNA from 1 species